rnacentral:rRNA from 1 species
UACGUAGGGUGCAAGCGUUAAUCGGAAUUACUGGGCGUAAAGCGUGCGCAGGCGGUGAUGUAAGACAGGUGUGAAAUCCCCGGGCUUAACCUGGGAACUGCAUUUGUGACUGCAUCGCUGGAGUGCGGCAGAGGGGGAUGGAAUUCCGCGUGUAGCAGUGAAAUGCGUAGAUAUGCGGAGGAACACUGAUGGCGAAGGCAAUCCCCUGGGCCUGCACUGACGCUCAUGCACGAAAGCGUGGGGAGCAAACAGG